rnacentral:rRNA from 1 species
GAUCCUGGCUCAGGAUGAACGCUAGCUACAGGCUUAACACAUGCAAGUCGAGGGGCAGCAUGACGGAAGCUUGCUUUCGUUGAUGGCGACCGGCGCACGGGUGAGUAACGCGUAUCCAACCUGCCCUUGUCCAUCGGAUAACCCGUCGAAAGGCGGACUAACACGAUAUGCAGUUCUCAGCAGGCAUCUAACGAGAACGAAAUAGUGAGAGAGAUGGAGUGCGU